ensembl:lncRNA
UAUAAUUAAAAAAAAAGAAAAAAAAAAAAAAAAAAUGAAAGUAAUUAUGGUAUUAAUUUUUUUUGUAAUUUUUAUAUAUUUAUAUGAUAUUAGAAGAUACAUUUUUAACAAUACUGUUAUGAAUGUGUAUGCAACUGAAUAUGUAGAUAAAAUAAAUGUUAAUAGUUAUGGUAAUCUUAAUUUAUAUAAUUGUUUUUUAAUGGGAAAUAAAUGCACUAAUGGUCUAUUAAAAACUGAAGAAAAAAAAGAAGAAGAAAAAGAAGAAGAAGAAGAUGAAGAAGAAGAAAAAGAAGAAGAAUGUCCACAUAUGCCAGUUGCAGAUUUGAUUGGUUUGCCGCCAUCUGAUGCGAAAGAUAGAUUAUAUGCAUCAUCAUAUUCAGGCAAUAAUGAUAAAGAAAAGUUACAUCAUGAAACUAAAAGAAAUGGAGAUGAAUAUGCAUGUGGUAACCAGGAUCAAAACGUGUUAACCUCUGUUGGCUAUUUUGAUAAUAAAAAUAAAAUAACUAAUACAUAUGAACAUCCACAAUAUGAAAACAUAAAUAAAAAAAAUGAAUACCUUAAUGGUAUUAAUGUUAAAAUGGAGGAUAUAUGUACAUCAAAACUAGAUUUGACACAGCAUCCCUCAUAUGGUGCAUUUUUUGUAGGUAAAAAUGAAUUUCCACGUUUAACAGAUACAUAUUAUGGAUAUACUGAUGUAGAAAAGGAAGGAUUUGUAGAUAGUAAAUGUUGGUACGAAAAUAUGAUGUCUACAAGUUCUCGUGGAGUUUCUGAGACUAUUCAAACUAAUGAUUAUGUUCAGAAUACAAAUUUAAAUGGCGAUAUGGAUAAUUUAUAUCAGAAUGCAUUAUCUGAUUUAUUUACAGUUUUAAAAGAAUGUGAAUGUCCUAAUAAUGCUAAUUUUCCUUGGUAUUUUCCACAGGGUUGUGUGUCAUUUGCAAAAAUACAAAACAAUCAACAUGUAGAAUGUAAAAGUGGAGUGCAAGUAGAAUGCGUAGGUGAAAUAGAUACAACAGAAUGUAGCGGAACUGGUGAAUAUGGAGAAGUCGGAGAAUAUCAAGAAGUCGGAGAAUAUCAAGAAGUCGGAGAAUAUGGCGAAUACGGAGAAUAUGACAGCGACGAAGAAUGUGAUAAAGACAAAGAAUAUUACGGAUACGACGGAGAAGGCGAUUUUGACGCAGGCGGGAAAUAUGACGAAGACCAAGAAGAUGACGGUGAAGAUGAAAAUGAAGAUCAGAAAGACGACAAAAAAAAAAAACAGGAAGAAUCUGAUGAAUCUGACGAAUGUGACGAAUGUGACGAAUGUGACGAAUGUGACGAAUGUGACGAAUGUGACGAAUGUGACGAAUGUGACGAGUGUGAAGAAUGUAUAGAAUGUGAAGAAUGUGAAGUAUGUGACGAUUGUGUAGAAUGUGAAGAUUGUGAAGACUGUAGUGAUUGUGACGAGUGUAUAGAAUGUGAAGAUUGUGAAGAUUGUGAAGAAUGUGAAGAAUGUGAAGAAUAUUACGAAUGUUACGAAUGUUACGAAUGUAAAGAAUCUGACGAAGAUAAAGAUUAUGACCAACGUGAGGAUUUGGAAGAAUGUGAGUAUUAUGACCAACGUGAGGAUUUUGAACAACGUGAGGAUUUUGAACAAUAUGAGGAUUAUGAAGAAUGUGAGGAUUUUGAACAAUAUGAGGAUUAUGAAGAAUGUGAGGAUUAUGAAGAAUGUGAGGAUUAUCAAGAAUGUGAGGAUUAUCAAGAAUGUGGUGAUUUUGAACAAUAUAGUAAUUAUAUGGGUUAUGGUGAAUGUUAUGAUGGCCCAUAUGAAGAAUGUGACACAUACGAUGAAGAGAUUCUAGAAUUAAGUAAAUACCCAUGUUUGCUAAAAUAUCUAAUGUAUGAUGAUGGAAGAUGGGGAACAGGAUAUGAACAAGAGUGUGUACAAGAACUAGAAGAAGAAGGACUACAAUAUCAAGAACACAUACAUUGGCAAAAAGAAUUACAACAACAGCUACAACAACAACUAGAACAACAAAGACACCAGAGGUGUGGAUAUUAUAAUAGAAACGAUGAGGAAGAAAAAGAAGACUGUGAAGAAGAAGAGGAAGAGUGUGUGGAAGGGGAAGAAGAUGAAGAAGAGGAAGAGUGUGGGGAAGAAGAAGAAGAAGAAGAAGAGGAAGAGUGUUUGGAAGAAGAAGAAGAAGAGGAAGAGUGUGGGGAAGAGGAAGAGUGUUGGAAAGAAAGAUUUAAUGGAAAACAUGGGGACAAAACACAUUCAUACAAUUAUUUGUUUUUGAAACAUUUAAAUAUUGAUUAGCAAUGUCGAAAAUAAGAUGACGAUGGCGAUAAUUUAAUAAAAAUUAAAAUAAAAAGAUUAAAGAAAACA